rnacentral:rRNA from 1 species
AUUGAACGCUGGCGGCAUGCCUUACACAUGCAAGUCGAACGGCAGCGCGGGGCAACCUGGCGGCGAGUGGCGAACGGGUGAGUAAUAUAUCGGAACAUACCCUAGAGUGGGGGAUAACGUAGCGAAAGUUACGCUAAUACCGCAUACGCACUAAGGUGGAAAGUGGGGGAUCUUCGGACCUCAUGCUCAUGGAGUGGCCGAUAUCUGAUUAGCUAGUUGGUGAGGUAAAGGCUCACCAAGGCGACGAUCAGUAGCUGGUUUGAGAGAACGACCAGCCACACUGGAACUGAGACACGGUCCAGACUCCUACGGGAGGCAGCAGUGGGGAAUUUUGGACAAUGGGGGGCAACCCUGAUCCAGCAAUGCCGCGUGAGUGAAGAAGGCCUCGGUGUAAGCUCUUUGUCUAGGAGAACGGU